rnacentral:misc_RNA from 1 species
UGAUCAUUUAAAUAUCCUUGUUCGAUAAGCAUCGACUUUGAGCAUGGGAGGGUCCCCCUCAUUUCCACGGGAGCCCCUGAGUCCAGAAAAGGUGGUAAUCGUCACCGGUGGAAAUACAGGCAAUUACAAGGAUGGAAGCAGAUUUCGAGCAGGAGAAACAAAAAGGUACUUCCGGUCUAACAUCCGGGGAAUUGUCUGUCGAGUUCAUGGAGCUGGACCUGUCCUCGCUAAAAUCUACACAGAAGUUUAUCGAGGAAUUCAAGGCAUCAGGAAAACCGCUCCACGUUCUUAUCUGUAACGCUGGGCUGGGGAUGCAUCCAUUAACUUAUACGGAAGACGGAAAUGAGUUGAUGUUUCAAGUGAAUUACCUAGCCCACUUUUUGAUCAUAGUAAAGCUACUGCCAAUCAUGUACAAAAGUGGGCCGGACUGCCGUAUAGUCCUGGUGGCCAGUAUGGCUCACAAGUGGACGUCCUUCCAUCUAGACCAAAUCCAGGCCAGGCAGCAAAACGAGGCCAACUUUGAUAGAGCCGAUUACUACUAUAAAUCAAAGUUGUAUCAAGUGAUGCAAAUGUAUAGUUUGAAUCAACGGAUCAACCAAUCAAAUGUGACCGUGAACUCGUUACAUCCGGGUGUUGUCCACUCCGAGUUCACCCGAUCUUUUGAGGAUGACUGCACGUGGACAUGUACAUAUAACUGUGCAAAAUGCUUUGGGGUGUCCAUUUCGCCAUAUAAGGGUGCUAUUACCAGUAUAGACGUCGCGGUGAACAGUAAACACAGUGGGGUGAGGGAUGUUUACUUUGACAAGUGUGCCCCUGCCAGUCCUUCACCAGAGGCCACAAAUGUGGAGAACCAGGAACAACUGUGGAAGUUUAGUUUAGACUGCCUUAAAGAUUAUAUUACAGAGGAGGACUUGAAUAACUUAGGUGCAAAAACUUAGCAAGUUCCGCCAAACAAACAAAUCUUUGUAUAUUAUAUAUUGCUUGUUGACAUUAAGUGUUUGCGCAUCCUUCGUUCUUGAAAUUUUUAUGUUUAAAUAAAUUGUUUUAUUUUUUAG